UUAUAAGUGAGGCUGAGCAUUCUCCAUACAUAAGAGGUUGUUUUAAUUUCGUUUCCUGUGAACUGUGUACAGACCCCGAGUGAGGUUCCUGCAGUUGCCACAACCAAUUUCCACAAACCGAGGGGCUAUAAACAACUCCAGCUUCAGCCCUGACCAUUCUGGGGCUAGAAGUCUAACGGGGGUCUCACUGGCUGGAACACCUGUGACCCAGAACUCUGUUGCUUCCUGGAGGCUCUUGGUGAGAAUCCAUCUCCUUGCCUUCAGCUUCAAAUGCUGCUUGAGACCCUUAUCUCGCAGCUGCCGCCAUCCCCAAAGCCAGCAGUGGCAGACUUGGCUUUCCCCCAUUGCCUCUCUGUUCUCUCAGGCUCCUGCCUGAUCUUGCACAUUGGACACUCUCUCCAUCUGAAAACCGGGAGGGAGCAGAUACCAGACCAUCAGGAGGGAGCAGAUACCAGACCUCCAGUGGGGGUCCUCUGAGGGGCAGAUCCCAGUCUGGACACCCAGAGAGUGCUGGGGUGGGGGUACCCUGGCCAAGGGGGUAUGGCCAGCAGCACUUUCCUUGCUCAGUGCACCAUGGGCCUCCAUUCCAUACAGGCCUGCAGAUGUGCUGGUGGCAGAACCAAGCACCCCAGGAGAGGGCCCGCGGUCCUGUCGGGCAUUGCCACAGCCUUGCCUGGAGAAGCAGGGCCUCCCCCAGUGCCCAGCUGGCCAGCAAGUUUUCAGGAACUCUACGCUUUUCCCAAAUAAGCUGUACAGGUUGUCCCAUCACCGUGUCUAAUCUGUAUGUCAUCGGAGACAACAGCAUGUUUUGCUGUCGCUCUGGUUCCAGAGAUUCUGCUCAGCCGAGGUUCCAGCGUUCUGAUGAAGAAGAUUCCGUCUCCAAAGCCUUUGAGGUCACUCCUGAUGCUGACAUGGCUGCUGAAGAGUUGGGUGACAGGCAUUGCUGCCUCCGAGGUUCCUUUGUGAGGAAUAGGUGGGGCUUCAGGAGGAAGCCAGCUGCAGCCAUUCAUGGGAGGCGGCUGUGAGACGGCCUGGCAGGACCCAGUCUCGGACCCCACCAAAGGGGAGGCUCACCCUGCACAGGAGCAUCCUGGGGCAGUAGGCUUGGCUCUUUUAAAUUUUGAGUAAGAACAAAGUAAACUUCAGGGUAAAAAAAUGAAACUGUGUUGAGUACAUAGUGGUUGAGGGCCUACAGUAUACCUGACACUUUGCCAGAACCAGGCUUCAGACCUCAGGGUUCUGGGUCUUUUGAUGUCCAGCUCCAACCCCACCAUACCCAAGCACCCUCUACCCCCACCGCAUACCCUUCACCGUGCUACCUGGCCUGGGCCAUCUCAGACCACUUGGACUCCCUCCUGAGGCCUCCAGCCCCUCAGCCCUCACACCCUGAGCCCCUCAGCCUGGAAACCAGCCACCGGCCUGGACACCAUGGGGGGCUUCAAGGUUUCCACCUCCUGCUAACCUUGGCCUGAAAGGGGUCAGUGGGACCCUGCCCUAGGCCCCUGGGAGGCUGUAUCCUUGCUUCUGCCUCAUUCUGUUCUCCAGGGCCCAAUCCUCUUCCUGCUGGGCCCUCCCAGGAUGUCCCUGAUCCUGUCACUGUGCUUCCUGGCCUAAAUCUCACCUCCUCCAGGAAGCCUUCCAGACUGAUGGCUCCCAGGCACUGGGCAUCCCCCAACCUUGCUGAGAAUGGUGGAUGCCCACCCAGGCUGAGCCCUGGUGAGCCAGAGAAGCCUGCGUCUCCCUGCAGAGUCUGCCGCAUAGUUCUCUAGCCCACUGUGAUUCCACCUAGGUCAAUCCCUUUCCAGCUUGGAUUCCCAAGAAUAACUGUGUAAUAUGCUGGAAAUGCAACAUCCUGAGAUAGAGAGAACGGCCUGAAGCAGCCGGGGUCUAGUUCCUGUUGCUCUGACAGAAGGGAACAUCAUGAGUUAGGGAGUGGCCCCUGAAGAAUAAAUGGAGGCAAAAAUCCCUAUAAGUAGAAUUCACCUGGGCCAAGGUGAAGACAGCCACUGGGGAGACUCAGACUUGGAUAUGAGCUCCGUUCAGCCUUAGUACCUCUGCCUCCCGGGUCCAACCGAUUCUCCUGCCUCAGCCUCCGGAGUAGCUGGGAUUAUAGGCGUGCACCACCAUGCCCAGCUAAUUUUUGUAUUUUCAGUAGAGACAGGGUUUCACCAAGUUGG
rnacentral:lncRNA from 1 species